UUCGCAAUGCCCGAAAGGGUGACGAAGCGACGCCGCGUGGGUGAAGAAGGCCUUCGGGUUGUAAAACCCUGUCAGGAGUUAAGAAAUGUAGGUUCGAAAAUAUUGGGCCUAUUCGACAAAAGCUCCAAAGGAAGCCACGGCUAACUCUGUGCCAGCAGCCGCGGUAAUACAGAGGUGGCAAGCGUUGUUCGGAAUUAUUGGGCGUAAAGAGCACGUAGGUGGAUUUGUAAGUCAGAUGUGAAAGCCUUCUGUUCAACGGAGGAAUUGCAUCUGAAACUACAAACCUUGAGUAUAGGAGGGGAGAGUGGAACUUCUGGUGGAGCGGUGAAAUGCGUAGAUAUCAGAAGGAACGCCGGCGGCGAAAGCGACUCUCUGGCCUAUUACUGACACUGAGUGUGCGAAAGCUAGGGGAGCGAACGGGAUUAGAUACCCC
rnacentral:rRNA from 1 species